CCUGUAGGAGCAAAUCCAAGAUGGCGGCCAUUCAGGGCAAAAACAUUAGAAACGGUAUAGGAAAAACCAUGUUUUUUGCACUUUGCGUCGACACAAUGUUUCCGAUCUCCUUCGAGCGACAUAUUUUGGCAACAACUUUUUAUCGCCGAGCUUUUGGUUGUAAAUUGGACAGUCUGGGAUGAAUUAAUGUAAAAAUAUCGUUCGCCGAAGUUUUUAUGAAAAUAUCGUCACUUUGGCACUGGUCAAAUCGAGUCAUUUACUUGGGUUUAGAGGAAUUUAUAAAGAAAAUUUCUGAUUUUUGAGGUCAAAUACGUAUACGUUUAAGUCUUUGGCUACAGAUUGGACGGUUUGGGAUGAAUUAUAGAAAUAUAUUGCUCGCCGAAGACGCUGAUAAAAGGCACUUGGGCCAGUUGAGGAGUUAGAAUACACUACAUUUGUUAAGUAAACCAAUAGUUUACUUUAAACAUUUUAGGAAAUGUAAAGAACAUUGCUUAAACAGCCAAAAAUUUCACAGAUCUGUCACAAGGUGCAUACACUCAACACUCAGCUUUGUUUAAAGACUUUAAAAGAAGGUUGAUAACUCUGACAGACUUGAUGCUAGUUCAGCCUAGUUGUUCCAACAAGACUGACGCAGGUUGUUUAAAAAAGGUUGGCAAGUUGUUAACACAAUUUUGUAACAAGUUGUUUCUGCGACUGUAUGUAUCAGUCCUGUUGAAACAAUUCACUGCAGAUCUGUCAAAGUUCUGGACUUGCUGUGACAGGUGCAGGCUGCUCCAUUACUGUUCUAGAACAUUUGGAACACUGUUCUGGAGCGAUAUAAAAUGGAGUGCACAUAGUGUUCUGGAACAGUGCUAUAAUGAUUUGCUGUUAUAUGUAUAUCUAAGUAUGCUUUUGCGACAUUCUUACUCGCUGAUUUUGCCCAACCCUGGUGUACAAAUAGCAUAUAAUACGUAUAUGUCGAAAUAUAGCUGUUAACUGUUCAAAAUAAUGCUCUAUGUCUUUCUAUGCAGUGUGUGCAUUGGAUACACAAAAUAUGCCGCCUCCAUUUUCUAUCACAUAGAAAAUAGGCAGUGUCACCUGUCUGUUGUGGCUGCCCCUACUCAAAAAUCGGGGCAGUCAGAACAGUCGUGCGACUCUCUUCUGUUCCAUUAGUGUUCCGAAAAUCUGAAGUACUCCGAACAGGAAAUGGAGCAGCCUGCUGUGAACAAGCAGGGCGAACACACCUUGACAACAGCCUUAUUACAACUUGUAACCAGACUUGAUGUAAUUUGUGUAGAAGACAAAAGAAGUAUUUUACAAGUUGAAUUACAGUUAAUUGGAUACCACACUGGUCAGUUCGAUUGAGUCUGUUGUGUUUCAUUUUCAACUUCACUUUAUUAAAUAUCAUCUGAUAUUAAAGGUGAUCUACAGUACAGAUGUAAACAAAGCCUUUGUUUACAUUUUUGUGUCCAAAAUAUUGAGCUUUAUUCGACAACUAUUUAUAUUUUCAAGCUUCUAGAGUAUAAUAAAUGAUCAAGAAACAACAAUCAGGCUUUUCAAGAACUCAAAACAUAGUUAAACUGUUUGUAUCAUAAAAAGUGGGCUCAUUUGUGCACAUGCGCAGAUCGGACUGUAGACCACCUUUAAGUCUGACUGAACCAUAGUAAAACUAUUCUUUGCAGACUUAAAUUAGGGUCUAAAUACAUUUAGUAUUCAGCAAUUAUUUAUUAUUAAAGGUUACUCCAUACACUAAGAUUUUGGUACCCCCCAGAGGUUC